CACACAGUUCCCCACUUGCAUCACUCCUUAGUUAGGAAACCAUAUAUACAUCUUGUCUUCAUCUUCACCUUCACCUUCAUCUUCUCAACUCGAACUGCAGAGAAAUGUGGAGUGUGCCCAUUUGAGGCCAUGGAUCUACUUUGGUUUCACCAGAUUGUUACUUCAUCAAAAUCACCAACAAAAAACAUCUCUCAAAUUUCAGGCAUAGUGUCAAACCAAGAAAUCUCUUCAUCAUCUCCUCCAGUAGCGUCCUCAGAGGUGGAGAACAAGAGACAAGAAAGUGAAGAAACUACUACUACUACUACUACUAGUAAAUCUCACUCAUGUUCACCAACAACAAGAACAUCAAUGAAGAAAUCUCGAAGCUCAAUCGAUCUCGAGCUUCAAGAAGUGAAAGGGUUCAUGGAUUUAGGGUUUGUUUUCAAAAAAACACAACUUAAGCAGACAUGUCAUCAGCUUGAUCCCUGGAUUGCAACGAAUCAAAUCUCAAGAUGCUCAUGAUUUAGAGAUUCUUGAUGAAGAGAGAGAAGACAGAUUGAUGAUGCCAUAUUUGUCAAGAGUCAUGGCUUGUGAAAUUGCCAGAUUCUCCGUUGAUACUAAGUUUAAGGAUUUCGAGGGUUUGCAAUGAUUCGGACAAGGUGAAGAAGCACUUGAAGGAUUGGGCUCUAACGGUCGCAGCAACCGUCCACCAAGAGUCGUGACGGUCGGAUUAUCCGACUAGGCUAGUCUUGUAGAUUCUACGUCUGAUUAAAUAUACGAGAUUUUUUAGCUAUGCCUUUGGUUAUGACUUGUGCAAAUAGUAUGGAUGUUGAGUACAAACCUAUCACGCAUCGGUUGUUACUCAACAAUGGAGAUGCAAAUCACACAUUAUUUAUAUAAGUAUUUAGGAAAAUGUUACAUUAAAAAAGUAAAAAAGUAUGUGCUUUAUUGUGUACAAAAUGUGACAAAAUGUUUUUUGAAAAAAAAAACAUGUGAUGUUCAGAAAA